UACGUAGGGUCCAAGCGUUAUCCGGAAUCACUGGGCGUAAAGCGUGCGUAGGUGGGAACUUAAGUGAGGUGUUAAAUCGUGUGGCUCAACCAUAUCGAUGCAUCUCAUACUGGGCUCCUAGAGGACGGCAGAGGCAAGUGGAAUUAGCAGUGUAGCAGUGAAAUGCGUAGAGAUUGCUAGGAACACCAAUGGCGAAGGCAGCUUGCUGGGCUACUCCUGACACUGAGGUACGAAAGCGUGGGGAGCGAACAGG
rnacentral:rRNA from 1 species